GACAGAGGUGCCGAGCGUUAGGCGGAAUCACUGGGCUUAAAGCGUGUGUAGGCGGAUCUGUAAGUACCUUGUGAAAUCCCACGGCUCAACCGUGGAACUGCUUGGUAUACUGCGGGUCUUGAGCCACCUAGGGGCAAGUGGAACAAAUGGUGGAGCGGUGAAAUGCGUAGAUAUCAUUUGGAACGCCAAAGGUGAAAACAGUCUGCUGGGGAUUUGCUGACGCUGAGACACGAAAGCCAGGGGAGCGAACGGG
rnacentral:rRNA from 1 species